rnacentral:rRNA from 1 species
AUUGAACGCUGGCGGCAGGCCUAACACAUGCAAGUCGAGCGGCAGCGACUUAACUGAACCUUCGGGGAACGUUAAGGGCGGCGAGCGGCGGACGGGUGAGUAAUGCCUGGGAAUAUGCCUGAUGUGGGGGAUAACUAUUGGAAACGAUAGCUAAUACCGCAUAAUCUCUUCGGAGCAAAGAGGGGGACCUUCGGGCCUCUCGCGUCAGGAUUAGCCCAGGUGGGAUUAGCUUGUUGGUGAGGUAAUGGCUCACCAAGGCAACGAUCCCUAGCUGGUCUGAGAGGAUGAUCAGCCACACUGGAACUGAGACACGGUCCAGACUCCUACGGGAGGCAGCAGUGGGGAAUAUUGCACAAUGGGGGAAACCCUGAUGCAGCCAUGCCGCGUGUGUGAAGAAGGCCUUCGGGUUGUAAAGCACUUUCAGUAGGGAGGAAGGUAGUGUAGUUAACACCUGCACUAUUUGACGUUACCUACAGAAGAAGCACCGGCUAACUCCGUGCCAGCAGCCGCGGUAAUACGGAGGGUGCGAGCGUUAAUCGGAAUUACUGGGCGUAAAGCGCAUGCAGGCGGCCUGUUAAGUCAGAUGUGAAAGCCCGGGGCUUAACCUCGGAAUUGCAUUUGAAACUGGCAGGCUAGAGUCUUGUAGAGGGGGGUAGAAUUUCAGGUGUAGCGGUGAAAUGCGUAGAGAUCUGAAGGAAUACCAGUGGCGAAGGCGGCCCCCUGGACAAAGACUGACGCUCAGAUGCGAAAGCGUGGGGAGCAAACAGG